AAUAAACGCUGGCGGCGUGCCUAACACAUGCAAGUCGAGCGAGAAAGCUCCUUCGGGAGUAAGUAAAGCGGCGAACGGGUGAGCAACGCGUGAGAAUCUACCCUUUAGUGAAGAAUACCCUCGAGAAAUCGAGGCUAAUACUGCAUACGUCCCUUCGGGGAGAAAGAUGGCCUCUUUGCUAUCGCUAAAGGAUGAGCUUGCGUACUAUUAGCUAGUUGGCGGGGUAAAGGCCCACCAAGGCAAUGAUGGUUAACCGGCCUGAGAGGGUGUACGGUCACACUGGAACUUAGACACGGUCCAGACUCCUACGGGAGGCAGCAGUGAGGAAUCUUGCGCAAUGGGCGAAAGCCUGACGCAGCGACGCCGCGUGGAGGAUGACGGUUUUCGGAUUGUAAACUCCUGUUAAGCGGGAAGAAAACCUUGUUCUAAUACAAGCAAGGUAUGACGGUACCGCUAGAGAAAGCACCGGCUAACUUCGUG
rnacentral:rRNA from 1 species